UACGUAGGGUGCAGGCGUUAAUCGGAAUUACUGGGCGUAAAGCGUGCGCAGGCGGUUUGCUAAGACAGGUGUGAAAUCCCCGGGCUUAACCUGGGAACUGCGCUUGUUACUGGCAGGCUUGAGUGUGGCAGAGGGGGGUGGAAUUCCGCGUGUAGCAGUGAAAUGCGUAGAGAUGUGGAGGAACACCGAUGGCGAAGGCAGCCCCCUGGGCUAACACUGACGCUCAUGCACGAAAGCGUGGGGAGCAAACAGG
rnacentral:rRNA from 1 species